AGAAGGCGAGGAAGAAGAGACGAAGAAACAGAAAAGAAAAAAAGGAAAUUAAGAGAGGUUUUGUUGCGCUCUUUACGACAGAAAUUGAUUCUUUCU
rnacentral:ribozyme from 1 species